ensembl:lncRNA LINC00511 long intergenic non-protein coding RNA 511
GGGCCCGCUUUGAUCUCCCUUAAAGGACAGCAUUAUCUGACCAGAGACCCAUGCAGGAGACCUCUCCAGGUACACAUAUUUCCUGCUACUGAAUGGCUUAGACUGGGAUUUGCAAGGAACUACGAAGUCCAAGACCUUUGCCUUUCUUUUAGAAGAAGGCACCAGCUGGUUCUCCAAUGUUGAAGGUCUUCUCCAGAGAUGGGCAUGCAGAAGGAGUGAAAAAACAAGAAGGAAGACAAGGAAGACAUUGUUUUGGCUGCUGACAUUUCCUGAAAGAUCUGAGGCGUCCCCUUCACUUCGGGCAUGGGACCCAGACGGCUGAGUGAUGGACCUUAAGGUGUGGGGAGAUUACAACUUGCUCAAGGUCUCAUAGCUAGAAGAUGUCAGAGUGAUAACUCAAACCAUGUCACAUGACUCUAAGCCCAAAGCAGCCUCUAGAAGGUUGUUUGAUCUUCUGAUGGAAGCACAAAUCACCAUUCCAACAUGAAAGAUGGAGAAACUUAAGUCUAGAGAGAUUUAAAGGACUUGUCAAAGGCAAUGAAACAAGUGAUGAGGAAACUGAGGCCCAGAGAGGAUAAAUGACUUGCUCAAGGUUAGCCAGUUGGUCAAUGGCAAAGAUUAAACCAGAACCCAGAUCUCCUCUCUCCAGCCAGAGUCUUCAAGCAAAGUCCCUAGGAGGAACUCUGAAAGCCACAUGUUGAGAUGGCCCCAUUACAGGAUGGAGAGCACCUGAACCCCCAAGUUAUGGACUAGAAGAAGACAGUUGCCCUGGAAAAUCAUCUGACCCACAUUGGACUUUAUGUGAGGGGGAAAUAAACCUUUAUUAUGUUAAGCUACACAAUAAUAAAUAACAACAAUAA